UACGUAGGGGGCAAGCGUUGUCCGGAUUUCUUGGGCGUAAAGAGCGUGUAGGCGGCCAGGCAGGUCCGUUGUGAAAACUCGAGGCUCAACCUCGAGACGUCGAUGGAAACCGUCUGGCUAGAGUCCGGAAGAGGAGAGUGGAAUUCCUGGUGUAGCGGUGAAAUGCGCAGAUAUCAGGAAGAACACCAAUGGCGAAAGCAGCUCUCUGGGACGGUACUGACGCUGAGACGCGAAAGCGUGGGGAGCGAACAGG
rnacentral:rRNA from 1 species